AAGCGACCGCUAGAAUAAGUACCUAAGUACCUGGCUUACAGAGAAUAAGUCAUGAGGUCGAUUUACUCGACUAAGGAGGUGUUCCAGCAUGGCCGCAGUCAAAUGACUGAAACAAGUAAAAGAAUAAAAGAAUUCAUACAUACAUGUGUGUGUGUAUGUGUUCACGUGUGUGAAUAAUAGGUAAAAAAACAAAUAGUUUAAAAUAGCGUAUAAUACUGAAAACUUCUAACCAUCUUUCAUUUUAUUAUAUGUAUAUGUAUAUCUGUAUAUCUUUAUAUAUAUUUUUAUCCAUCAUGCGAUGGACACCGUCGAAGACCACGUAUGGACAUUCAACUUCUGCUGAGCGACUUGCACAAAUGAUUUGUUUAUCGUGAUCAAAUGUAUGAACCGUACAUUAGCUCAAUCUUUCCAUCAAGUCGUCGUUGCCUGAACAGGUGCGCUGUGUACUGCGCAUCAGAUUUUCCGAGCUUAUCGAAAAGCAGCGUGAGAUGAAGUGUUCUGCUGAAGAGCACAACACACCACCCGGUCUAGGAAUUGAAAUAAUGAUCUCAUGAUCGCGAGUGCAACUCCCUAACCACUAGUACAUACACAUCCAUCACACAUACACACACACACACACACACACACACACACACACACACACACACACACACACACACACACACACACACACACACACUUGUAUACACACACACACGCACAUACUCUUUUACUCUUUUACUUGUUUCGGUCAUUUGGCUGUGGCCAUGCUGGAGCACCGCCUUUUUUAGUCGAGCAAAUCGACCCCAGGACUUAUUCGUUGUAAGCCUAGUACUUAUAUUAUCGGUUUCUUUUGCCGAACCGCUAAGUUACGGUGACUUAAACACACCAGCAUCAGUUGUCAAGCGAUGUUGGGGGCACAAGCACAGACACACAAACAUAUACACACAUGCACACACACACACACACGCACAUAUAUAUAUAUAUAUAUAUAUAUAUAUAUAUAUAUAUAUAUACGAUGGGCUUCUUUCAGUUUCCGUCUACCAAAUCCACUCAGAAAGCUUUGGUCGGCUCGAGGCUAUAGCAGAAGACACUUGCCCAAGGUGCCACGCAGUGAGAUUGAACACGAGACCAUGUGGUUCGUAAGCAAGCUACUUAGCACACAGCCACUCCUACGCCUACAUAUAUACAUAUGCAUAGAUAUAUACACACAUAUUCAUACAUAUGUAUAAAUAUAUAUAAAUGUGUGUGUGUGUGUGUGUGUCUGUGUAUACUAGCUGAAUACACCGUCGUUGCGGGGCAAUUUUUACAAUAAAUUUUUGUCGCUUAGACAACGGUGCUCUUCCCUUACCUGAUAUCAGUAACCGUCACUCUCUCACUAUGUUUCAUUCACGUUACUAUUCUUUGCACCUUUAUCAGUUGAUCAUAAAAUUCGCCGAAGACCCCACUAGGGUGCACAUCAUAGAUUUUUACUGAAUUCCAAUCAGUCUAUUAUUGAACGGGACGUUAGUUUAACAUGUGUGCAAAGUUUGAAGAUUGGUUCGCUGGUAUAAGCAGUAAGAUGGUAACAGACAGACAGAAAUUGCUAUUUAUAUAUAAGAUACACACACACACACAAACACAAACACAAAUACAAACACACACACAUAUAUAUAUAUUGCAUAUAUAUUGAGAUAAAGCCUGUAGCAGCAUUUAGCGAAGCACCUUGCCGUAUAUAAAUGUGCGUGCGUGUGUCUGUGUGUCACAAUGUAUAAAGGCCAUAGGCACCGUAGAUAACAAAAGAAUACUGCUGAAAUCUGUUUACAUGCCACUAGCGAUAGUCUCACUUAACACUAAUCCAUCUUAAUCCGCUCUAUUACAUCUUAAUAUAAACUAACUUUACGUUUGUUUUGGAGUAUUUUCGUAUUGUUCCAUCCAUUAUUCGUUCUUUCCUUUUCUGUCUCUCUCCCCACUUCUCCCUUUCUCUCUCUCUAUGUAUGUACGUAUGUAUGUAUGUAUGUAUGUAUGUAUGUAUGUAUGUAUGUAUGUAUGUAUGUAUGUAUGUAUGUAUGUAUGCAUGUAUGUAUAUAUGUAUGUAUGUAUACACAAAUACACACAGAGAGUUACAUGCAUGUAUGCCUACAUCCAUACACACAGAGAUUGUUUGGUUGUAUUUAUGCAUAUCAGGCAUUAGUGCCUAUCAGAAGCAAUAUACAUAUGUACAUGUAUACAUACAUUUUUGUAGGCUAGUGUACGAUGAACAGUUACAAUUCCUCCCUCUGCUUGGGACCCCACGUAUAUAUAUAUAUAUAUAUAUAUAGAGAGAGAGAGAGAGAGAGAGAGAUAGAGAGAAGGGGGGAGAAAGAUAAACAUAUAUAUAUGUAUGUAUAUUCAUAUAUAUAUUUAUAUAUCAAUACAUAACAGCAUAUGUAUUUAAAUGUUUAUGUAUAUAUAUGCGCGUUUGUGUAUGUAUACAUAUCUACAUAUACAUAUGUGCAUACGCACACAUUCUUUUAUGUAUACACGUUUGUGUGUGUGUGUGUGUGUGUGUGUGUGUGUGUGUGUGUGAGUGUUUGUAUGUAUGCAAGUAUAUAUAUAUAAAAUAUUCGUGUGUAGCAUGUAUUUAUGACACGACUAUAAACGACCUUAAUCUUUUUUUAAUGAUGAUGUCAGUCGUUACUUUAAUAUAUUCUUUGAAAGAAAACCUUUUUCUACAUUAAGUAAAAUUCUUUCUAUGAAUCUGCCUUUGUCUGUCCUGCUGAAAAAACUAUAUAUUCUUGUAUUGAAUUGUACUACAUGUAUCUGACUCACUCGUAUACUGUCAUCCCCUAUGUUUUAAGUCUCUUUCUUUGAAGUAUACACUUCAGCGUUGAGUAUAUUCACAACCGGCGGUGCAACCUGAGAAGUAGUACCAUUAGAGUCACAACCUUCGUACAUUAAGCGCGCCGAAACUAUGUUGAUUCCUGUUCCAAUGGCUGAUGAGAGAUUUUUUAAGUUUAAUUGUCCUUUUCGUUGGUUGUUUCCAUACCUGACUAAUUUUUACUAGAGAUACGUACACACAUACAUGCACACACGUACGCACAAGCACAUACACGCACACACGCACAUAUACGUUUACACAAACACAUAUACAUUUCUACACAUAUGUAUCCUUUUAUAUACAUCUAUACAUUUAUGUAUAUUUAUUAAUUAAUAUAUAAAUAUAUAUUGAUAUACAUACAUGCAUAUACAUAUAUAUAUAUAAACAUAAAUAAAAACACACACACUCCCACGCAUUUGUGCACACAUGCGCACACAUGUUAUCUACCUAUCUCCCUCUGUAUAUAUGUAUACAUUCAGAGAGCUAGAGAGAGAGAGAGAGAGAGAGAGAGAUAAAGAGAGAGAGAGAAAAAGCAAUAGAGAGAUGGAAAUUGUGAGAGAGGAAGAGAAUAUAUAUAUAUAUAUAUAUAUAUAUAUAUAUAUAUAUAUAUAUAUGUGUGUGUGUGUGUGUGUGUGUGUGUGUGCAUAAAUAUAUAUUAUAUACGUUCACAUAUACAGAUAUAUAUGCCUAUAUAUAUAUAUAUAUAUAUAUAUAUGCUUGCACACAUACACUUACUGUAUAGUGUAUUCUUGAAAUCCAAAUGCUGAGUAUUUAAUACAUGUGUGCGUGUGUAAAUAUACACGAACAACACUUGCUUCUAAUCUAUCCACUAGCAAUCUGCUGUAAAAAUGUAGACGUGCGUGUGGAGUGUUUCACACAAACACAGAACUGCGGGAAACAUGAACACACACAGAGAAAUACACAAACACAAACACAUACACAUUUGCACACACAGAAAAAGACAUACAUUUAUUCUGUCCCAUUUUAGCAUUUGAUCUUAUUGCUAUUCCCCAACAACUAAACGCGGAAAAGGAGGAAACAAGCUUAAAUAAAUGUCUCUGGUGAACGAUUCAUUACAAAAUAUAUACAGAAAAAUAAAGCAUUAGGCAAAAAUAUUAUGGAAAUAUAAAGGAAAAAACACACCAUAAAUAUCUAACAAGCAGCAUACUGUUCGUCGGCCAUUUUGAAAAGACUUGUUAUAGUUUCAAAAAGGCAGACCAGAGUAGUAUCUUUUCUUUCUAUUGCUGUCAAUUAUUGCACUUCUCGCAAAUUACCGGUCAGCACGCUCGGCUGGCUCCGCAGAUCGAUAGAAAUAAACGUACGCAUGCGCCGCCUGCGUAAGCUGUCGUACAUGUAAAGAGGCAAAAAUGGUGUGCUAAGCUGACGGGGGUGAAUUAGUUACUACAUAAUUUCGUCCGUAUAUUGAUACAUACGCACGCCCACACGCGCACACACACAAACACCACAAGCACAUGGACAGGCACACACUAUUUCUCUCUCUCUCUCUUUUUCACAUAUGCAUGUAUAUAACUACAUACAUACACAUAUAUAUAUGCAGCAAAGCAUAUAUAUGUUAUAUAUAUAUAUAUAUAUAUAUAUAUAUAUAUAUAUAUAUAUAUAUAUAUAUAUAUAUACAUACAUAUAUACAUACAUAUAUACAUAUAUAUAUAUAUAUAUAUAAAUAGAUGUAUAUACAUAUAUAUAUAUGCAUCUAUGUAUAUAUAUAUGUAUGUAUACAUACAUACACAUAUAUAUACAUACAUAUGUAUGUAUACAUAUAUACAUACAUAUAUAUAUUUACAUGAUAUAUUUAUCUCUAUGUAAAGAAGAGCUAAAUAUGUAUGUUUGUGUAUAUAUAUAUAUAUAUAUAUAUAUAUAUAUAUAUAUAUGCAUGUAUAUAUGUAUGUAUAUAUAUAUAUAUACGUAUAUACAUCUGUGAUUAUCGUAUAUAUGUGUUUGUGUAUGUAUAUAUAUAUGUAUGUAUGCAUGUAUGUAUGCAUAUAUGUAUAUAUAUGUAUAUAUGUGUGUGUACGUCUUAACUCACCAUAUGCUUCUGGUGUGUAUGUACAUGUGUGCAUGCGUGUGUGUGUGUUUGUAAUCGCGUGCAUUCAGAUAAGGCAAGUAGAAAACGUUUACGAGCGAGAUCAAUUGUUUCUCAUUUAAAUCAUCCUCACAGCAGACAUGUAUAAGCAGCUAUAGACACAGCUACACAUGCAUAAUUGCACAACAACAUGCCUCACAUGAAGUAAAUUAUACUCGUACAUUGGCUGUGUCUUUCCCUCUGUUUUUAUCCCCUUAUUUCCUUUUUCUCCUUUCGACCUUUUUCUCCUCCUACCAGUCUUUUCUAUCCGGGGUUUUUCUAUCUCUGAAGCAUACGCUCCUACGAAGGCAAAUACACUCAUUUGCGGUGAAAUGCGCACACACAAACAUAGUCCCAGAGAUACAUACAUACAUUCAUAUAUAUAAAUAUACGUAUACACACACACACACACACACACACGCACACACACACAUGCGCACAUACACACACACACACACACACACACACACACACACACAUAUAUGCCUAUAAACGCAUAGACGCUUGUCAUUAGGAGUACAAAGAUCUACGCCUGCACCCAAGAUAUAUAGUCUGAGAGAAAACAUAUAAAGAUAAGCAAGCUCAUAAUAACGUAGAGGAAGGCACAUUUAUCCGGAAUCGUUGCACACGGGUGCACACAUACACACACACAAAAACACGCACACUCACACACACACACACACACACACACACACGCACGCAUACGCAUUUAUGCACAAACAUACGCACAAGCAUAUACAGAGAAAGAGAGAGAGAAGGAGGGAACGAAGGAAGGAGAGCGUGAGGGUGGAAAGAGGAAAUAAAGAGAGAGGGUGAUAAAUGUUUAAAUUGGGAUAGUAGUUUCUGAUGUUUCGGAUGACGGUCUUUCUUCUCAUUCUUUAUCACAUGAUAGAUUUGAAUACAGUGGGGGAGUAAACCCUUCCUCGAUCAUCACUCCUACUUGUAACUAAAACUGUUAUUCUUCUCCACCUUUCAGAACUCAUCCGUAUCUUCGGUUUCUCCUUCAUUUCUGGUAAGUUUUACGUGCAUGUCAGCGGAAUUGCUGUAUGUACUAAGGUGGGCAUUAACUAGGCAAACCAUUUUCUAUGACAUUUUAAAAAGAUACUUUUUUCCAGUUCACUGGACUUCCACCAUAGCUGUAUAGCUUCUAUAAUGAUAACCACCAAGGUGUUAAGAUAUACACCAGAGAUUAAUUCGAUCAAUAGUGUAAUCUUUUUACUCUAAUCCGUUUCACACUGGAGUACCUGACACUAGUAGAUCUCUAACAACAACCUCCAGUUGUUCACUUCCGUCCACUAAUUGUCUACUGAAUCUCACUUUUAUCUUCCUUUUCUUAUCCCAGAUACACCUAAGUCACCAUCCUGUUCUUCCAGUUCUUCAAAUUCGCUGACUAUGCAAAUUUCAACUUCAGAUCUUUAGAAACAGUCCCCUUCUUCAACCAUAGGCACCCUGUGUAAGUUGUGGUUCCCACAAUUCCCUUAGCCAUGAAACUAAGCAAAUCAUCCCUAACUUACCCGCUAUAUUCAUCUCUACUAACUGGAGCCCGCCCUUCUUUAAUUUCUACUCAACCCAUUAAAAUACCCCUUUCUUCCAACUUCUAGUUUCUAUUCUCUGACCCUUUUUUCACCCCGAUUAGUUUCACAUCUCUAUUUUACUUUUCCAAGAGAGAUAAGAAUGUCAUUUAGAAGUUCUCGUAACCAUAUACAACCAGGUGCAUUCGUGUUCAGUCACCGUUUGUAUUACACGUGUCUUGUUAUCAUCAAAACCACAGCAAUGACCGAUCCCAAAUCAUCCGAAAUUACAGAUGCAAGUUGAACAAUAUUAUAUACGACAUCACUUAACAAAGCCAGCGAUGCCCUAUCGAUAAACGGUAAGUCCGCCCACCAGAGGCCACCACACACAAAGAAAUACAAGCAUUAACGCAUCAUAUUCGGUCCCAGAAUAUCAUAUCCCCUGAGUCACUCAUUUACGAGGAUGUUUUUGCUUAAAUUUCUGUUUCUUACUGUCACUUUUAGUUUAAUUCCUAACUUAUUUACAAUAUUAAUGUGUACAAGUAUAAAAAAAAAACCUUCACAGAGAUGUUAUUUUUAUUUUCUAUUGCAUUCUAUUUUAUUCCUGCCAUCUUAACUACCAUUCGUAACCCUGUCUCUUAAUACAAAACGGGCUUUCAAUUCGUUGGCAACAGUUUUGCACCUAGGUAUCUGGAAUUUUGCAAGAAGCACACUUCUCUCAGGUAGAAGGCAAUAUGCAGUAGCGUUUUCUAAUACUGUUAGACACUCACGACGUACUGAUGCUAGUUUUUAUAUACUUUUCUUUUCUACUCUAGGCACAAGGCCCAAAAUUUCUGGGGAAGGGGUGCUAGUCGAUUAGAUCGACCCCAGUACAUAACUGAUAAUUUAAUUUCUCGACUCCGAAAGGAUGAAAGGCAAAGUCGACCUUGGCGAAAUUGCUAGUUUUUAUAUUACUGGAUACAUGUUUCCGCAAAUGAAAAUAUAUGAGCAAUAUUCUUCUUUAUAUCACAUUUGUGACCCCCAUGGCAGGUGUGUGUGCGAGUGUUUGUUUGUUUGUGUGUGUGUGUGUGUGUUUGUGUGUGUGAGUGUGU
rnacentral:lncRNA from 1 species